rnacentral:rRNA from 1 species
UACGAAGGGGGCUAGCGUUGCUCUGAAUCACUGGGCGUAAAGCGCACGUAGGCGGCUUGUUAAGUCAGGGGUGAAAUCCUGGAGCUCAACUCCAGAACUGCCUUUGAUACUGGCAAGCUUGGAGUCCGGGAGAGGUGAGUGGAACUGCGAGUGUAGAGGUGAAAUUCGUAGAUAUUCGCAAGAACACCAGUGGCGAAGGCGGCUCACUGGCCCGGUACUGACGCUGAGGUGCGAAAGCGUGGGGAGCAAACAGG